GUGUCUGUAAAGUAACGUUACAAGUUAUGUUUCGUUUUCCUUUGCUGUUUCAUAAUUGCAGAUGCGUGAAUUUUAUAAUUAUAACAGAAAUUUUAUUCCAUAGGUUAGCAACUUCACGUACUGCCGCCAAGACAUCCUCGUUUCCAUGACAACUAACAUUAGACUCCGGAGCUUUCGAUUUCCUAGCAGCAGACUUCUGGACAAAAGCCAAAGCAUCGUGAUUCCGUAUUACAUUGUAAAUUCAGUGCAGAGCUAAAGGCCGAUGCAGAGUCCUCAAAUUAAUCAGCCGUGUUGGACCAGUCAAAUAUCAAUCAUGCCAGGCCUUGCGUGAUUAACUUUAUUCUUCCCUCUUUUCCCCAUGCAGAGAUGGCAAAAGAGUUGUAUAAGGUCCACGCGUAUUUUAUAAUGUUAUCACGAGCCCUAAACAGUAGGUUAAUAUGCCACUUCACCUUUUACACCCUGAAGAAUAAACGCGAACACCUGUACCUACAGGACCCCCAUCCCAUCUUUGGUCUGGCCCUACGCUACGUCAUAAAUCGAACGCGUUCUGCACCGCGAGUGUCAGAAUCCACCAGACGCCUGACAGAACAGACGUGUAUUGAGGAACUCUUCAUUUGAUACUCAGACAAGGCGAAAACUCAGAUAAUUAACUGCAGUAAACUCAUUUAUACGCCCUAGAGAGCGUUAUUUACUGCUAAUAAAUGGAAUAAAGUAUGUUUCAUGUUCCCGGUCCUUCCGGACAAAGAAGGCCGCCAUGUAGACAGAGGAUAGGGCCUUCUCCUGGUUCUGGUAGAUUUGAAUGUAUUUUUAAUGUUUGAUUGAUGUUGUUUAACCCUUGUGUUGCUGUUUCAUACACACUGGGGUCAUUUGGCCUCAACUUUCUCUCAGUUUCAGCAAAUGGAGUGAUUUUUUUAGUGACAAACUAUUUUGACAUAUUUUGGGAAAAGGCUUUUGAAUUAAAAAAAAAGUUUCAAAAAACUUAAUUCGGGGCAAAUUGGCUUUGUUUAUGUUGUUGGCUGUUACGGGUUAAAUUGCUUUAUUUUUAUACUGUCUGUUCAGGCAUAACUGGAAGCUGUCUCAAAUGAACAUGCUGUUUUCAUCUUUCAGUGGAAGUAAAAUAUGACCUGAAAGAAAAUAUUGGAGCUGGCUGCUACGGCAAUGUCUAUCGUGGUAUCAGAAAAGUGGACGGCAAACAGUUUAUCAUCAAGUCGACUUUUUCAGAAGUUGACAGCAAUGUGCCUGGAUAUCCGUUACCCAUACCAAUCGAAGUGGCCAUGAUGACAAUUGCGAGAGAUCCCCCCAGCCCGCUGCUCAUCAAGCUCCAGGAAUGGUUUUUAGUUAAAGUGGAGAAAUUGCCAAGAGGAAAAAGCUUGUGGGUUAAUGAUAUGCCGGUGCGGUAAGCAAAAUAAACUCAUUUCUACUUUAAAAUCUAUCCUGAAUGUAACUGGAAGCCAGUGUAAAGACUAGGCAAGGGCCAAUAACUGUUUUUAAGGUAUGGAAAAGUCGAGGUUUUAAAACUGCCAACGUUUCUGUAAUACCGUUGUGUGAGAUAUAUUAUUUACAGUUUUUUUUUUAGGACAAUGGUAUCUCCAGCAGAAUAAAUAUCCAAAAAUGCUGUUUUAAAUAGUAAAGAAAUCAGUGUUUUUGAAACAAACGAGGGCCGCAGAAGUCAAUUAAUCUUUUGAAUUAUUUAGCCUGACAUGUUUACUGCCAAAAAAAUAUUAUAAAUCUAUUACAAAAUAAAAUAUAUUGUUUUCAGAGGGGAACAAGUUUGUCUUUUACCCAGACAUUCAAAAAGACUACAUAUUAGAGCAGUAAUCACAAUACCGUGAAAUUUUGAUCCAAGGUUAUCAUACCGCCACAAUCUAAUACCGGCCCAUGCCUAGUAAAGACUGACCUGAGGACUGCUGUCGUGUGCUUUAUUUUAACUCAUUGCAUCUGCUUACAGAAAGUGUGUAAGACAAUAAUGUUGGUGAUGGAGUAUCUCGGCCCGUGCAGAACACUGGAGGAUUUCCUGCAGAAGCACCAACACCUGGAGGAGAAAGUCGCGCGUACGCUUAUCCUGCAGAUUGUCAAAGCAGCGCAGGAGUGCUUGAGGCGGAAAAUUUGUCAUCAUGAUAUUCAUAACUAAAUAACAUAAUAAUCAUUACAAUUAACCUGUAUCUCUUUUUUUUAGGCAUGUAUACAAGGCGAUAUGCAUGUGAACAUACACGUGAAGGGAAAUAAUAACACGUGGAGACAACUAAAUACAGUAUAUAUCACACAACAGCAAAAUAAACUCUUGUUUUUUCUACAAACUGUGUUUGUUCGUCAUUUAACAUUAAAUUCAGAGUGUUUACAAAGUAAUUAAACUCACCA